GCAGCGACGCCGCGUGAGGGAUGACGGCCUUCGGGUUGUAAACCUCUUUCAGCAGGGACGAAGCGCAAGUGACGGUACCUGCAGAAGAAGCACCGGCUAACUACGUGCCAGCAGCCGCGGUAAUACGUAGGGUGCAAGCGUUGUCCGGAAUUACUGGGCGUAAAGAGUUCGUAGGCGGUUUGUCGCGUCGUUUGUGAAAACCAGCAGCUCAACUGCUGGCUUGCAGGCGAUACGGGCAGACUUGAGUACUGCAGGGGAGACUGGAAUUCCUGGUGUAGCGGUGAAAUGCGCAGAUAUCAGGAGGAACACCGGUGGCGAAGGCGGGUCUCUGGGCAGUAACUGACGCUGAGGAACGAAAGCGUGGGUAGCGAACAGGAUUAGAUACCCUGGUAGUCCACGCCGUAAACGGUGGGCGCUAGGUGUGGGUUCCUUCCACGGAAUCCGUGCCGUAGCUAACGCAUUAAGCGCCCCGCCUGGGGAGUACGGCCGCAAGGCUAAAACUCAAAGGAAAUUGACGGA
rnacentral:rRNA from 1 species